CGAUGCAAUUUGUAUGAGCUGCACACAAAAGCAUCUAACCAUGAUCGCUCAAUGGCCUGAGUGUGUGUUCCGGUCACUGGAUCCACAUAAUGUCGUUGAUGGUUCACUGUCAGAUGGUGAUAACCUAUGGUAUUUAAAUUAUUAUAAGCGGGCCACUCAUCUGAAUGGAU